rnacentral:sRNA from 1 species
AAGUCGUAACAAGGUUUCCGUAGGUGAACCUGCGGAAGGAUCAUUCAUAAUAAGUGUUUAUGGCACUUCUUAAAUCCAUAUCCACCUUGUGUGCAAUGUCAGCCGUUUUCUUUAUGAAAGCGGCCAAACAUCAACUUAUUUUUUAACUGUCUGUCUGAAAACUAUUAUGAAUAAACAAUUCAAAUACAACUUUCAACAACGGAUCUCUUGGCUCUCGCAUCGAUGAAGAACGCAGCGAAAUGCGAUACGUAAUGUGAAUUGCAGAAUUCAGUGAAUCAUCGAAUCUUUGAACGCAUAUUGCGCUCUUUGGUAUUCCGAAGAGCAUGCUUGUUUGAGUAUCAGUAAACACCUCAAAGCCUUCAAUUCAGUUUGAAAGCUUUGGACUUGAGCAAUCCCAACAUCAGUCUCGCGACUGACGGAGGGCUGCUUGAAAUGCAGGUGCAGCUGGACAUUCUUCUGAGCUAUAAGCAUAUUUAUUUAGUCCCGUCAAACGGAUUAUUACUUUUGCUGCAGCUAACAUAAAGGGAGUCUGACCGUAUUGGCUGACUGAUGCAGGAUUUCACAAGGGCUGGCAACAGCUUCUUGUAAAACUCGAUCUCAAAUCAAGUAAGACUACCCGCUGAACUUAAGCAUAUCAAUAAGCGGAGGAAAAGAAACUAACAAGGAUUCCCCUAGUAACGGCGAGUGAAGCGGGAUGAGCUCAAAUUUAAAAUCUGGCUGGUUUACUAGUCCGAAUUGUAGUUUAUAGAGGCGUUUUCGGUGGCAGCCUGGGUAUAAAUCCUCUGGAAUAGGGUAUCAUAGAGGGUGAGAAUCCCGUCUUUGACUCAGUGCAUGCUACUAUGUGAUACGUUUUCAAA